GCCGGGAUGGUGGAAUUGGUAGACACAAGGGACUUAAAAUCCCUCGCCUUUAAAAGGCUUGCGGGUUCGACUCCCGCUCCCGGUACCA
rnacentral:tRNA from 1 species